AACAGCUCAAAUUUGAAAUCUGAUCCCUUCGGGGUCCGAGUUGUAAUUUGUAGAGGGUGCUUCGGGCUUGGCCUAGGUCUAAGUUCCUUGGAACAGGGCGUCAUAGAGGGUGAGAAUCCCGUAUGAGACCGGCGAUCCAGCCCAUGUGAAGCCCCUUCGACGAGUCGAGUUGUUUGGGAAUGCAGCUCAAAAUGGGUGGUAAAUUUCAUCUAAAGCUAAAUACGGGCCAGAGACCGAUAGCGAACAAGUAGAGUGAUCGAAAGAUGAAAAGCACUUUGGAAAGAGAGUUAAACAGUACGUGAAAUUGUUGAAAGGGAAGCGCUUGCAAUCAGACCUGCCCGUGGGUGAUCUGUCGGGGCUCGUUCCCGGCAACCUUCACCCAUGAUCAGGCCAGCAUCGGUUUGGGCGGUGAGAUAAAAGCCCCUGGAAUGUAGCUUCUCUCGGGGAGUCUUAUAGCCUGAGGCGUCAUGUUGCCAGCCUGGACCGAGGACCGCGCUUCGGCUAGGAUGCUGGCGUAAUGAUUCUAAGCGACCCGUCUUGAAACACGGACCAAGGAGUCUAACAUUUAUGCGAGUGUUUGGGUGUUAAACCCGGCCGCGGAAUGAAAGUGAACGGAGGUGGGAGCCCGUCAAACGGCGCACCAUCGACCGAUCCAGAUGUUUUCGGAUGGAUUUGAGUACGAGCAUAGCUGUUGGGACCCGAAAGAUGGUGAACUUUGCUUGUAUAGGGUGAAGCCAGAGGAAACUCUGGUGGAGGCUCGCAGCGGUUCUGACGUGCAAAUCGAUCGUCGAAUAUGAGCACAGGGGCGAAAGACCAAUCGACUAUCUAG
rnacentral:rRNA from 1 species